GUGGAAUUUUGGAGGGUUUCCAGUAUGGCUGAAGUAUGUACCUGGCAUUAGCUUCAGAGCUGAUAAUGAACCUUUCAAGAACGCAAUGAAAGGGUAUGCUGAGAAAAUUGUUAACUUGAUGAAGAGUCAUAAUCUUUUCGAGUCUCAGGGUGGUCCAAUCAUACUCUCACAGAUUGAGAAUGAGUAUGGGCCUCAAGCCAAGGUACUUGGAGCACCGGGACAUCAGUAUUCAACAUGGGCUGCAAAUAUGGCAGUUGGAUUAGACACAGGCGUCCCAUGGGUGAUGUGCAAGGAAGAAGAA
rnacentral:misc_RNA from 1 species